rnacentral:rRNA from 1 species
GUCUAUGGCCAUGCCACCCUGAAUGUGUAGAUCUCGUCUGAUCUUGAAAGUUAACCAGGGUUGGGCCUGGUUAGUACUUAGAUAGGAGACUAUCUAGGAAGACUAGGUACUGUAGGCG